CCUACGGGUGGCAGCAGUGGGGAAUAUUGGACAAUGGGGGCAACCCUGAUCCAGCCAUGCCGCGUGUGUGAAGAAGGCCCUCGGGUUGUAAAGCACUUUCAGUGAGGAAGAACGCCUGGUGGUUAAUACCCAUCAGGAAAGACAUCACUCACAGAAGAAGCACCGGCUAACUCCGUGCCAGCAGCCGCGGUAAUACGGAGGGGGCGAGCGUUAAUCGGAAUUACUGGGCGUAAAGCGCGCGUAGGUGGCUUGAUAAGCCGGUUGUGAAAGCCCCGGGCUCAACCUGGGAACGGCAUCCGGAACUGUCAAGCUAGAGUGCAGGAGAGGAAGGUAGAAUUCCCGGUGUAGCGGUGAAAUGCGUAGAGAUCGGGAGGAAUACCAGUGGCGAAGGCGGCCUUCUGGACUGACACUGCCACUGAGGUGCGAAAGCGUGGGUAGCAAACAGGCUUAGAUACCCGGGUAGUC
rnacentral:rRNA from 1 species